GCAUGGCUAAGACAUGCAAGUCGAACGGACCAUAUAAUUGGGUAACCGAAAGUAUGGUUAGUGGCGAAAGGGUGAGGAAUAGAUAGGAACGUACCCUGUGCUCUGGGAUAGCGUCUGAAGCUUCGGCUUCUUCCGAAAGGGGCGGUAAUACCAGAUAAUGCCCUUCGGGACCAAAGAUUUAUCGGCAUUGGAGCGGCCUAUCUCCUAUCAGCUUGUUGGUGAGGUAACGGCUCACCAAGGCAACGACGGGUAGCGGGACUGAGAGGUUGGCCCGCCACAUCGGGACUGAGACACUGCCCGGACCUCCACGGAGGGCUGCAGUAACGGAUAUUGGGCAAUGGGCGAAAGCCUGACCCAGCAAUGCCGCGUGCAGGAUGAAGCCCCUAGGGGUGUAAACUGCUGUCAGGGGUCAGAAAGCUGGUUUCGGCCAGUUGAUCAACCCCAGAGGAAGUCACGGCUAACUUCGUGCCAGCAGCCGCGGUAAUACGAAGGUGGCAAGCGUUAUUCGGAAUCAUUGGGCUUAAAGGGCACGCAGGCGGAACAGUGUGUGUUGUGUGAAAUCCCCCGGCUCAACCGGGGAAUUGCACAGCAAACUGCUGUUCUUGAGGCAGGUAGGGGUGCAUGGAACUCUUGGUGGAGCGGUGGAAUGCGUAGAUAUCAAGAGGAACGCCAGAGGUGAAGACGGUGCACUGGGCCUGUCCUGACGCUGAGGUGCGAAAGCGUGGGGAGCGAACGGGAUUAGAUACCCCGGUAGUCCACGCCGUAAACGAUGUCUACUAGGUCGUGGGUGUUCUGACACAUUCACGGCCGGAGCAAAAGUGUUUAGUAGACCGCCUGGGGAGUACGGCCGCAAGGUUAAAACUCAAAAUGAAUUGACGGGGGCUCACACAAGCGGUGGAGCAUGUGGAUUAAUUCGAAGCAACGCGCCAGAACCUUAACCUGGGGUUUUGACAUGCUUGUAUGCCUUCUCUGAAAGGAUUUAGCUGCACUUCGGGUUAAAACUUGCACAGUGCGUGCAUGUCUGUCAUCAGCCUCGUGUCGUAAUAUGUCAGGAUUAAUCCAAUUAAACGACAAAACCGAUUGCCAUUAUUGCCAGCAGAUAUGUCGGGGACUCUACGGGGACUGCCGGUGUUAAACCGGAGAAAGUGGGGAUAACGUCAAUCCCUCAUGGCACUUUAUGCCCAGGCUUUCACACGUGCUACAAUGGCAAUUACAGAGCGACGCGAUACCGCGAGGUGGAGCAAAUCGCAAAAAAAUUGCCUCAGUUCGGAUUGCAGGCUGGCAAUUCGCCUGCAUGAAGUCGGAAUCGCUAGUAAUCGCGUAUCAGCAAUGACGCGGUGAAUGUGUUCCUGAGCCUUGUACACACCGCCCGUCAAGUGAUGGAAG
rnacentral:rRNA from 1 species